GUCUACAGCCAUGCCACCCUGAACAUGCCCGAUCUUGUCUGAUCUCGGAAGCUAAGCAGGGUUGGGCCUGGUUAGUACCUGGAUGUGAGACCACCUAGGAAUACCAGGUGCUGUAGGUG
rnacentral:rRNA from 1 species